UACGGGGGGAGCAAGCGUUGUUCGGAUUUACUGGGCGUAAAGGGCGGGUAGGCGGCCACCGCAAGUCAGUUGUGAAAUCUCCGGGCUUAACCCGGAAAGGUCAACUGAUACUGCGGGGCUAGAGUGCAGAAGGGGCAACUGGAAUUCUCGGUGUAGCGGUGAAAUGCGUAGAUAUCGAGAGGAACACCUGCGGCGAAGGCGGGUUGCUGGGCUGACACUGACGCUGAUGCGCGAAAGCUAGGGGAGCGAACGGG
rnacentral:rRNA from 1 species